AUUGAACGCUGGCGGAAUGCUUUACACAUGCAAGUCGAACGGCAGCACGGACUUCGGUCUGGUGGCGAGUGGCGAACGGGUGAGUAAUGCAUCGGAACGUGCCCAGUCGUGGGGGAUAACUAGUCGAAAGAUUAGCUAAUACCGCAUACGACCUGAGGGUGAAAGCGGGGGACCGUAAGGCCUCGCGCGAUUGGAGCGGCCGAUGUCUGAUUAGCUAGUUGGUGGGGUAAAGGCUCACCAAGGCGACGAUCAGUAGCGGGUCUGAGAGGAUGAUCCGCCACACUGGGACUGAGACACGGCCCAGACUCCUAUGGGAGGCAG
rnacentral:rRNA from 1 species